rnacentral:rRNA from 1 species
UACGUAGGGGGGCAAGCGUUGUCCGGAAUCAUUGGGCGUAAAGAGCGUGUAGGCGGCCCGAUAAGUCCGCUGUGAAAGUCCAGGGCUCAACCCUGGAAUGCCGGUGGAUACUGUCGGGCUCGAGUCCGGAAGAGGUGAGUGGAAUUCCUGGUGUAGCGGUGAAAUGCGCAGAUAUCAGGAGGAACACCAAUGGCGAAGGCAGCUCACUGGGACGGUACUGACGCUGAGGUGCGAAAGCGUGGGGAGCGAACAGG